rnacentral:lncRNA from 1 species
CGGUUCGCGGUGUCCUGGCGGUCAGCACGCAGGGUCCCUCGCAGCCAGCCUCGCGGCCCACCACGUCUCGGUGCCCACAGCGGUGACGCUUGAGUGGCAACUACCGUCAGGCCCACAGAGCUUAGCAGGUGGCGGAUCGGGGAAGCUGUGUCACUUCACAGAGGGUGACUGCGUGAGGGGGCGAAGCGGCUCGAGGUGACAUCGCAAGUCCAUUGACCCGCUGUGGUCCUGCAGGUGCUUCAGGGUCUCUGAGGAGCCUUGGAAUCUCAAAGAUGUCCUUCUAGGGUUAAUGGGAAAAGCACUUACCUAUCAAAUUCUGCCCCCUGAUGGUCAAGGGUGGCCUCACAGAUGCUUUUGUGCCUGCAGUCUGCCGCAGCGGGCAUCUCACUCAGAAUAUGGGAGAAGCCGGACUGCAGGAAUGAGCUCCAGUCUUUCCUUGAGAGGGAGACCAGGUGAUGACAGCCAUGAUCCCAUCGGUUUGGCCCCAGGGCCUGAGCCAUGGAAUUGGCCCUAGGGCAGCAAGAACCUGUUGUUUCAGAAGUCGGUGACCUUUGAGGAUGUGGCUGUGUACUUCACGCAGACGGAGUGGGAUGGUCUGUCCCCUGAACAGAGAGCAUUGUACAGGGAUGUCAUGCU